rnacentral:lncRNA from 1 species
AACAUCUUCACGCUGCUGAAUGGAACGGAGACGGGCGAUAGACUCACAAAAAAUGCGCACUAAUUAUGGAAUUUGAGUUUUUCAAGUGCAAUAAACUCCGCUUGAUGAGGUAACGAGUGUAAUGAGUACAUCAUGUCCAUGUUUUCAUUCGCUCAGCCUUGCGUUUUGAUCCAUCCACUCAAAACGCGCCGUUUAUGAACUUCCUCAACUUGUCCAAGGUCACUAACUCGCAGACGGGUUGACUGGCGAUGCCCAUUUUUUGAAUACAUACUUUCGUCCAUACUCAGCGCAGCUCCCGAGGCUGCUACGUGAGCUUUCAGUUCUGUAUUACUACUUAGUUUUAGUUUAAAAUGUAAGUAAACACGCAUUUCAUUCUCGCCGUUGGCUUUCCAGUUCAUUCAGAAGCUUUUUCCAGCUGCUAUCAAGUACUUACUAACCCUCUCCACAAUACUUUGUUGAGCUAGGAGCUUUUAUGGAGUGAUUACCUGUGUACGUGUGUGUGUUUAUAUUGAGUAGGCGGUGUUUACACCUUCUUAGCCUCGUAAAAUUAGAUUGAAGUGUCCUUUAAGCUCGUUAUUUGUCAUCUGCUGUUAAUCUAUUGAGUUUUAUCAGUUUUAAACAGUUUGAUUUUGUUAAAAAUUCAGUGGAAUGUGAUUACCAGUGAAGUCAAUGAUCGUUUGCACUCAACCACUUGUUGAUCUGUUUUAGAAGAACUGUUAGAAUUUCAAGUUAGUGAGGAAGGAAUGCAGCACUCCUGGUCAUGAUUCUGAUUUUGAAUUUCUUGUCAAAGUAGUGGCUGUUUCAAACCAUCUGAAAGAUAUCUAAAUUUGGAUCGACCACAUCAUGAAGCUGGAGUGCGUGGCGCUGGAGGAGGGCGCGGGGGGUGCGGGGGAGUUGGUCCGCGCGUGCGCCCGCUGCCGCGCUGAGCUCGGGCGCAUCAUCAACCGCGGCGCCCUCUGCAAGAUGUGCAAGCUCCGCGUCUGCAAGUCCUGCCGCGAGUACUUCACCGCUGCCACCACUGCGCCCACCGAGUGGCUCUGCACGGCCUGCUACAAGAACAAUGAAUUUCAAAUUGCUGAUUCUGACUGGAUUUCUGAUUAUGUUCGAUGCUCAGCUCCAAGACUUCUUGCAGGGAGCAGAAUAAGUAACAUUCAUAGUAUAAAAAAUUGUGUGCAGCGAUCCUUCACAUUUUCAGAUACAAAACCAUCUCGAUGGGCAGCCUUACGUGGAUCCCCAGAGUUGCGCGCGUACAGCAGCAUGCCUCGCCAUCAGGAUGGUGACUAUGCCCCAUCAGUUUUUAGACGAAGAAACAAAUGCAGCGUGAUCAAAGCAGAAAACGAACAAAUCAAACCCGAGCCGACUAUAGAACAAUGCCCUGUAAAUAUGAAAGAUGAAAAUUCUGUAUUAAAAACAGAUACUCCUUCAACUGCUGAUGACUCUGUGGAAACAAAUGAUGAGAACAGUCCAGUUAACUUCAUCAAAAUCGUGGACUCGUGUGGAUUGGUCCUGGAUAUCCCAGCAGUGGCAACCUCUGACGAGCUCAUCGUGGAUGACUCUGAACAGAGUGUCGCCCAGACCAAUAAUGAGAUCCCACAGCCUUCCGCCAGUACAAAGAUGACUAAGGUCUACCGUAAAAAGUCAACUGGCUCCCUCAAGUCCUCUUUUCUUGAUUCGCUCUCGAAUCGAGUUCAAGAAGUGACGAGAAGAAGGAAAGCAACAGAUUUUCGCAAUCUUCCUCCAGGUGUGACGCCUCCGCGUAGUCGGCGCUUCAAACACCCGGAGGAAGGUGACGCAACACUAGAUCCGGUGGCCCAGGUGUUAUUCCCGGACUCGGACGACUACCGCCUCGUCUUCAUAAGCUCCUCGGACUCCUCGUCGCGCGAGGAGCUGCCCUACGGGUCCGCCUCCGAAGACGAGAAAUCCUCCACCUCCUCCUUGGUCCACCCUUCUCUGGAGGACGGCGACUGGGACUAUUUCGAGGACCCGCCGCCGGGGAGCGCCAUCGGUUCCUUCUCGGCUGCCGCGCCAGAUCGCGCCAGCACCGUCGCGGAGCGCGCCGCGUUUCCCGCCACCGCGCCGGAGUUCAGUUUCGUUUCGAGUCUCCUCUCUUGCGCGUCGCCCGUGCAGCCGCUCGUAGUGCCCGUUCCGAUCCCGAUCCCCAUCCUAGUGCCAGUGCCGUGGAACCCCGAGUUGACCAUCCGCGUCGAGCACGGUGUGUCGCCCGCGCUUCGCACCCUCUUCCAGCAGAACUGGAGCGAGUACGUCCGCGGGUUCGGUGCGGUGACGGGGUCGCCAGCGCCCUCUAGCGGGGGCCCCGCGCAAAGUGCAGUGCAGUGCGAUGAAGGGGUGAGCGGCGGAGAUGCGCCCCCCGUGAGUGACGAGAUGGAUUUGCCGGAUGUGUGCCCCGAACACGACGCGUCGAGGAAGAAGUUCGCCACCCUCCCGCUCAGCGAGCUCCGCUCCGUCGGGGAGAUCCUCUCCAAGAAGCCGGUCGCGGAGGAUCAGACGGACGAUGCCGGGGAGAUAGUCCUCAAGAAAUACCAGGUCAUCGAGGAUGCUGCCGAUCUCAGCCCUGACCCGGUCAGCUUGAACAAUAUUAUCAACAAGCAGCUCACCUCUGAGCUUUCAGUCUCUGACUCGGAUGCUUCUGACAACGAAGAGAAUUCGGUUCAACGAAUAUAUACCCUCCACAAGUCGGCGGAUUCUGAAGAUUCAGAGUCUUCGGCAGAGGAGGACAUCGAAGAAGAGAAGACACAUGAUUUAGUCUCCCUGAGUAAUUUAGAUGCUAGUCCUGGUGUUGAAACUUUAAUGUCAGAUGUUUCGAAUGUCACUGAAAUAAGUCAGGACUCUUUGAAUCCACCAGAACAAACCCAGAUGCCACCUAGUCCAAUAAACAACAAAGUAAAAAGUAGAUCGAAAAUAUCCCCCAAAAUAUCUGAACGGCUGGAUAAAUUUAACCAAGUGGAUCAGUCAGCUGCUGAUAAUAAUGGGAAAAUGACAGUAGCGAAAAAAUUGAGAAGAGCUUUGUGGCUGGAAUGACAGAAAAGUUGUCAAAAAGUGAUGAAUCAGAGUCAAAAUCUGAAUUGGUUUCUAGAAAUACUUCAAGUAAAAUUUGUGCUACAUCAUCCUCGUCAUCAGACGAGUUUUCUGGCACAGAAUCGAUGGAGUUGAUACCCACUGCAGAGGAUCUGAAAAUGGAAAGGGACUCGGAGGCAGAAAUGAGGAGACUCUCGCCAGUUUAGAUGCUAAAACUGAACCGUCCUCGGACGAAAGUAUCUGUGAUAAAGAGCCGAAAUGCUCAACCCCAAUCAAAGACCAAAAAAGGGCUGAUCCUGAUGCCUGUAAUAUAUCAGAUGAAAAUAUCGGUGACAGUCCAAGUGGUCGGUUCACAAGUCUUAUCAUGAUAACAAGUGAUCAGGCUGAAAUAGAACCUGAGUUAGAAGACAAGAGUAAUGUUAAUAUUGUAACAAAUAGUAGCACUCAAUUAGUGCAAGAUAAAGUUGAAAAGAAAGAAGAGUUCAAACUCACUCUUAACACAGAACAAGAUGUAGAAAAAACACAGCAUGUGUCACGAUCCAAUUCUGAAAGUGACGCGAAUACUGAUGAAGUUAAAGUAGUGACUGGUGGUGACACGCUGUCAGCUGUGAUUUGUCUAGAAGAAGGGUUAGCGGAUGAUGAUUCGUGGGUAGAGGAAAUCGAUCAUAGUGACACUAACCGAGGUGAUUAUGAUGAAGAUGAUAAUUUUGAUGAUGAUAAUGAUAAUUUUGAUGAUGAUUACGAUCAUUAUGAUGAUGAUGAUGAUGAUGACGACGACAAGAAUGUUGGUCUGAUGAAAAACAUCUCAGACUUCCAAGGUCACACGGAGGAAGAACUACGAGGCUACCAUCGCUCAGCUAUCGACUUCACCCUUCAUACAAUUCUAGAAGAGAGCUGUGAAGAAGCCAGUGAAGUAGAAGAGUCCAUGAGCAAUACAAAAAAUAAUUUAGAGAAUUACUUCUUUGGUUUUAUUGGAUCUGACGCUCAGUUAGAAAACAGCUCAGGCUCUCUAAAAAAGCUUGAUAUUGGAUCCAUUGAUGUAGAUAUUCGUGACUUGGACAGCAUAUCUGACACAAGUUCAAUAUUCAGUGAGGGACUAGAGUCUUUUGAAAGUAUUGAGCAAGCCAGCUGCUCAACUCGGAAUAACAAGAAUGAUGAUGAGAAAACACUUGAUGCUGCUGACCUUGCAUCAUCACGGAUAGAGAAAUACUUCCUAUCAAGUUUGAUCGGGAACCGAAGAGAUUCUGAUGGGAGUGUGGGGAGCGAUAGUGAAGGCAAACCCUCGCCUGAGCAGCGCAGAAAGAAAUUGGUGCGGGCCCGAGGCACUGGGCGGUCUUAUUCCAAUUCAUUAGAUAAUUUAACAGAAUCGGAACAGCAAGUUGAAAUGUUGCUCGACUCAGAAAGCUCAAGCUCAGAAACUGAUGCUGAGGAAUUGUCUUUUGAUAAAAAUGACGGGUUUGAUACCGUCAAACGAAUCAAUAAGAAUAUUAUUAAGAAGAAAAGGUCUUCAGUCACAACACCCAACCUAGAGCUUUUGGAGCUGGAUGAUUCUCAUCCAUUAAAUAAUGAAGCUAGCAUUGAUGAAGAAACAAAAAAAGUGCAAGCGGAAUUGUAUGUUUUGAACGCUGAUAGCAGAAAUAAACAACAGAGUAGAGAUAGUGGGUUUAUGGGCAGCUGUGAUGACCUUUGUCCAACCACCACAAAGAAGAUGAGAUCUCUGCUAACGUUGCCAAAGAAGAUGAAGUGAAACCCCAUCUGGAAAGUGACUCCUCGGUGCAGGAAAACAAGUCUGAUCCAACAACUACGAGCAGAACAGCACCUGCAAACUCCUCAAUGUGCGGAUCUGGGCUCAUGAGGAAAGACAGCUUCAACAAUUGGAGUAGUGAUGAGGAGACAAAUAUCAUGAUGUCGAAAAUGAAGCAGUUCUUCAAGACUAUGAUAGCCAAGCAAACUUCGUCUAAUGCUCCAGCCAGCCCCAAAACUCCCAAUGUCAAGGCCCCAAAGAAACCUCCCCAGCUCCUGCACUUCGAAACAGAACUCACAAGGCUCAUGAAAACAGUCCCAGGCAUCCGUGAUGAUCAAGUCAAAGAAAUUGUUGAAUACCUAUCAAGUGAAGACACUUGGAGCGACUCGUACGAUUCAUCAGACUAUACAAGCUCCGACUUAGAAGUGAACAAUAAGUCAGCACAAGAAGGAGCUGGACCUGUUUUAUUGGAAGGCAGGAAAAAAGAUGACACAGACUUAGUCUACCAGCGAUUGGUUGCAUCAUUCAACCGAAUUGAUGCACACUCUCAAAACUCAGACUCGUCUUCAUCUCACUCAUCCCCACCAUUAAUCACUAAAGUCAUGCAGCACAUUGGUAGUCGACUUGUUGCGCUCAUGCAUGAGGUCUCAAGUAACGAUUCUCAUGAGUCGAGUCCAAAGACUUAUCGUAGCUACCAUCGAAGAAAGCAGGCCAUGGUGACCUCUGAUGAUGAAUCAGUCGAAGACUUUUAUGCUCUACCAAGGUCUAAGUCCCAUGACCCACUGUUAGAUGAGAACCGCCAAGAAACCAGCGACAACGAGCGGUUUAGUUGGCGCGGAAGUUUUGAGUCAGCUCUUAUGACUUCUUCUGACUCACGGCAAAGAUUAUCAUCAACAGGAAACACAGAUUCCAUGUCUUCGUCUGCUCUGGCAUUGGCAGCAAAGAGACGCUCUGCUGGUGAUCUCCAAAUGAAAAGCUGCAGUCGUGAGCAGCUGGACCGCGUUAGAUCUUGUGGAAGUAUUGGUGGCAGUGUGGAAGACAAAAUCUGGAACUUGAAGCAUUCAUCAAGUAAGAAACGGCGAAGUUCGGUGCCAGAAACACACCCUCCGGAGGGUCGGCCGAUGAUGAUGAUUCAAGUAAUGAGCUCACUCCUAGUGGUAAGUCCACAACGCUCCCGCGAAUAGUGCAAGCUUCAUGUGCGGCUACUAAUUCUCUCCCGCGUUUACCUGGUCAUCAAAUUCGGCAAGUCCAAGCAUCUACAAAGCGCACAGUGUUCAUCAGUUCAGUGUUAAGUCUGCAAGAUAUCGGCCCCCUGGAUAUGGGUCACGGAACUCCAACUCUGCUGUACCUCCGCCGCGACGAGAUACAGCACGACGUAGGAUUCAACCAAGUGCCUCAGCAUCAGCUCUGUCUUCACCCAGUAUUGGUGAGUUUGCUUUUACUUUCAAGCUUUAAUCGUAGCCAUGAUUUUUACGUACAAUGGCAAUGUGCAAAGAGCCUGCAUGGAGUAAUUGUAAAUUUAUCUUUCUAAUGAACAACAAUUUAUCCUGAGGGUUGAGUUGAAAAGUAUUGAUAAAGGGCAAGAUCAUUGAAUUUAAAGACUUUGAAAAAAAAUCAGUAUCAAGAAGCCUGAAACUUUGUUUUUAUCUCACUCUUAAAGGAGUUAGAGACUUACUUCAUACCAAAUGGCUAAUUUUU